rnacentral:rRNA from 1 species
AUUGAACGCUGGCGGCAUGCCUUACACAUGCAAGUCGAACGGCAGCACGGAGCUUGCUCUGGUGGCGAGUGGCGAACGGGUGAGUAAUAUAUCGGAACGUACCCAAGAGUGGGGGAUAACGUAGCGAAAGUUACGCUAAUACCGCAUAUUCUGUGAGCAGGAAAGAGGGGGAUCGCAAGACCUCUCGCUUUCGGAGCGGCCGAUGUCGGAUUAGAUAGUUGGCGGGGUAACGGCCCACCAAGUCUAAGAUCAGUAGCUGAUGUGAGAGCAUGAUCAGUCACACUGGAACUGAGACACGGUCCAGACUCCUACGGGAGGCAGCAGUGGGGAAUAUUGGACAAUGGGCGGAAGCCUGAUCCAGCCAUGCCGCGUGUGUGAAGAAGGUCUUCGGAUUGUAAAGCACUUUAAGUCGGGAGGAAGGGCUGUAGGCUAAUACCUUGCAGUUUUGACGUUACCGACAGAAUAAGCACCGGCUAACUUCGUGCCAGCAGCCGCCGUAAACA